rnacentral:rRNA from 1 species
AUAAGAGGUCCCGCCUGCCCUGUGACUAUAAGUUUAACGGCCGCGGUAUUUUGACCGUGCAAAGGUAGCGCAAUCACUUGUCUUUUAAAUGAAGACCUGUAUGAAUGGCAUCACGAGGGCUUAACUGUCUCCCUUUUCCUGUCAAUGAAAUUGAUCUUCCCGUGCAGAAGCGGGAAUAAACCCAUAAGACGAGAAGACCCUAUGGAGCUUUAGGCUCCAGAGCAGCCUAUGUCAAACAUCCUAAAACAAAAGACAAAAACUUAUUAGCUUCUGCUCUACAUGCCUUUGGUUGGGGCGACCGCGGGGAAACAAAUACCCCCCACGUGGAUUAGGAGGACACUUCUUCCAAAACCCAGGACUACACUCCCAAGUAACAGAACAUCUGACCAAUAUAUGAUCCGGCACAACCGAUCAACGAACCCAGUUACCCUAGGGAUAACAGCGCAAUCCCCUUCUAGAGCCCAUAUCGACAAGGGGGUUUACGACCUCGAUGUUGGAUCAGGACAUCCUAUUGGUGCAGCCGCUAUUAAGGGUUCGUUUGUUCAACGAUU